rnacentral:rRNA from 1 species
AGUGAACGCUGGCGGUAGGCCUAACACAUGCAAGUCGAACGGCAGCACAGUAAGAGCUUGCUCUUACGGGUGGCGAGUGGCGGGCGGGUGAGGCAUACAUCGGAAUCUAAUUUUUCGUGGGGGAUAACGUAGGGAAACUUACGCUAAUACCGCAUACGUCCUACGGGUGAAAGCAGGGGAUCUUCGGACCUUUCGCGAUUGAAUGAGCUGAUGUCGGAUUAGCUAGUUGGCGGGGUAAAGGCCCACCAAGGCGACGAUCCGUAGCUGAUCUGAGAGGAUGAUCAGCCACACUGGAACUGAGACACGAUCCAGACUCCUACGGGAGGCAGCAGUGGGGAAUAUUGGACAAUGGGCGCAAGCCUGAUCCAGCCAUACCGCGUGGGUGAAGAAGGCCUUCGGGUUGUAAAGCCCUUUUGUUGGGAAAGAAAAGCAGCAGGUUAAUACCCCGCUGUUCUGACGGUACCCAAAGAAUAAGCACCGGCUAACUUCGUG